CUAGGAAGAUUUGUUUCUGUUACUGAAAUUACUCUUCUUGUUGGCACAAGCAGAGUCUCUCGCAUACAACAUACAACCCAGAGUGUCUAAAGGACUGUGUUUAGAAACAGUAUCGAGAUUUUCUGGGUCAUUUUCAACACUGCCAGUUGUCUUAGUUGGGGUCCUAGGAGUUGGAUUGCAACAAAUAUCUCAUGCAAAUGCCAAUACAGCUGAUCCUCAGGUUCCUUUGCCGUCAAAAUCUCCAUCAAGCUACACUGAUUUGGGAAAAAUUGAUGAG